rnacentral:rRNA from 1 species
AACGAACGCUGGCGGCGUGCUUAAGACAUGCAAGUCGAACGGUAAGGCCCCCUUCGGGGGGCACACGAGUGGCGCACGGGUGAGUAACGCGUGGGCAAUCUACCCUCAGGUUUGGGACAACUCCGGGAAACUGGAGCUAAUACCGAAUAAGACCACAGAGUCCUCGGGCUCAGUGGAAAAAGAUGGCCUCUUCUUGAAAGCUAUCGCCUGUCGAUGAGCCUGCGUACCAUUAGCUUGUUGGUGGGGUAACGGCUCACCAAGGCGACGAUGGUUAGCUGGUCUGAGAGGAUGAUCAGCCACACUGGAACUGAGACACGGUCCAGACUCCUACGGGAGGCAGCAGUCGGGAAUCUUGGGCAAUGGGCGAAAGCCUGACCCAGCAACGCCGCGUGAGGGAUGAAGGCCCUCGGGUCGUAAACCUCUGUCGGGAGGGAAGAAUUGGCAGCGGGCGAACAGUCCGCAG